CGCCAUACAAGCCUGAUUUUACAAUAGACCAAAACCAGAAAUCAGAAACCAGAUUUGAUUCACAAUGAAGAAUAACAGACCUUGAAGAUGAAAAGUUUCUUGAGAUUUUAGUGAGAGAAAAUACGAGAAUUAAGUCUGAAAGAAUGAAUGAAUUGACCUGGCCAGCCAAGGAACCACUAACCAAAUAAUUCUGACUUAUGCCACAGUCGUUAGAUCCAAACCAAUGGUCCAAAAUAGCCACAAAGAAAUAGAGAUUCGGGUCGCCAUUAAUCAGCCAACAAAUUUAUGCCAAGUGACAUGCCAUUCAAAAUCGUUUUUCCACUUCUAAAAAAUGGGUUUUAGAAAACACAUUUUACACUCUGAAACCAAGUUGAUAGAACCUCACUGCUGUUGCUCCUAGAGAUAUCUCUGUGAAGCCGAUGCUACUGUAUCUACUGUUGAAAACUGUGUUGCUGUAGUGACCUCGUGCUAUGAAUUAGAUGUUGCGAAAAUAGCAUUUGAUGUGUUGGCUAGUGAAUUUGUAUUAUAUAUAAUAUAUGUUGGAGUGAUAUUUAGUAUAGAUGGAUUGAUGCAAUUAUUUGUAAACAAAGAACAAUUGUACUGAAGACUGCAUUGAUAUUUCACAGAAUGUAAAUGACAAAUUCAAGCAAAUUGAGACCAGAUAUCUCC
rnacentral:lncRNA from 1 species